UUUGUGUCGUAAAAAUUGGGCUAUGUUCUGGCUAGUGGCCUCUCGCCCGUUUUAUGGCUCCUUUGGGUUGACGUUAGAAGGCUCCAAACCCUUCACUUUUCGAAUCGGUUGUCGGAAUGGUAGGACGUAUGCGCUAGUCGUUCGUCGACACAAGUACACUUUCGUGAAACCACCACGUGGUCAAAUUGUAUCGGUGUGUUUAACAGAAAAUAAAUAGUAAGUUUUUUAUGUACUUUGAUUUAUGUGAAUUUAUUAUGAACCUACAAACAGUCUUAAGGGACGGGUAGUCCCGGAACAACGACUGAAGAAACAACAAUUUGGAAAUGCUUUCGUCCGAGAACCGCCAUGACAACAGCAAUAAACGCUUUCAGGAAAACAGGCAUUUGGCCAGUUAAUCCGGAUGUUUUCAGCGAAGUUGACUUUCUGGCAGCAGAAACAACUGAGACUAGACCCCAUCACAUUCAGAAUGUGGCUUCACACCAAUCAGCCAAACUCCACGAGAUGAUCAACCUGGAUGCUCUCACUGGUCUACAGAAGAGAGUCCACAAAUUAAUGAAGAGCAAAGUGAGAAGCGGUACCAAUACGUUUCUCCAGGCGACAUCCUUCCCAUACCUUAUGUGAGUGAAAACUAUUCAAGAAAGACCAGGGGACGAAGAGGCAAAACUGCCAUCCUGCCAAUACAUCUUACUAAGAGCUGUUACAGCAGACCAUGUCCACCUCAUCAGUAAAAGUAGGCCUACCAAAAAGAAAGUUACACUUCAAAAAAACAGAGACAAAGAAACCACAGAAGAAGAAGUCAAAAUUCGAUAAAGAAGAUACGGAGUGCCUUUACUGUUGUGAUUUAUAUUCAGCUUCAAAAGAAGUUUGGGCCAUGUGCAAUACAUGUCAGAAGUGGACCCACUGCUCAUGUGCAGGUAUUGAUGAAAAUGAUGCUGAAACAGUGUUUAUUUGUGAAUAUUGUG
rnacentral:lncRNA from 1 species